GGGGGAUUAGCUCAGCUGGCUAGAGCACCUGCUUUGCAAGCAGGGGGUCAUCGGUUCGACUCCGAUAUUCUCCACAA
rnacentral:tRNA from 1 species